rnacentral:rRNA from 1 species
CACGAGCGCAACCCUCGUCCUUAGUUGCCAUCAUUCAGUUGGGCACUUUAAGGAGACUGCCGGUGACAAACCGGAGGAAGGUGGGGAUGACGUCAAGUCAUCAUGCCCCUUACAUCCUGGGCUACACACGUACUACAAUGCAACGGACAAAGGGCAGCCAACUAGCGAUAGUGCGCAAAUCCCAUAAACCGUUGCUCAGUUCAGAUUGCAGGCUGCAACUCGCCUGCAUGAAGGCGGAAUCGCUAGUAAUCGCAGGUCAGCAUACUGCGGUGAAUACGUUCCCGGGCCUUGUACACACCGCCCGU